rnacentral:tRNA from 1 species
GGUAAAAUGGUCGAAUAUAGGCGGUAAAUUGUAAAUUUACUUAUGAAGUUAUCUUUUACUA